rnacentral:rRNA from 2 species
UUAAGUGACUAAGCGUACACGGUGGAUGCCUUGGCAGUCAGAGGCGAUGAAAGACGUAGUAACUUGCGAUAAGCCCAGAUUAGGUAGUAACAACCAUUUGAGUCUGGGAUUUCUGAAUGGGGAAACCCACGUGCAUAAGCACGUAUCCUUACCUGAAUACAUAGGGUAAGGAGGCGAACCGGGGGAACUGAAACAUCUAAGUACCCCGAGGAAAAGAAAUCAACCGAGAUUCCGAAAGUAGCGGCGAGCGAAAUUGGACUAGCCCUUAAGCUUUACACGCGUUAGACGAACGGUCUGGAAAGUCCGACGAUACAGGGUGAUAGUCCCGUAGUUGACGACGUGUGUUCAGUGAAAUCGAGUAGGGCGGGACACGUGAUAUCCUGUCUGAAUAUGGGGGGACCAUCCUCCAAGGCUAAAUACUACUGACUGACCGAUAGUGAACCAGUACCGUGAGGGAAAGGCGAAAAGAACCCCUGUGAGGGGAGUGAAAUAGAACCUGAAACCGUGUACGUACAAGCAGUAGGAGCAGGCUUUGUCCUGUGACUGCGUACCUUUUGUAUAAUGGGUCAGCGACUUAUAUUCAGUGGCAAGGUUAACCAUCUAGGGGAGCCGUAGGGAAACCGAGUCUUAACUGGGCGUUCAGUCUCUGGAUAUAGACCCGAAACCAGGUGAUCUAGCCAUGGGCAGGUUGAAGGUUGAGUAACAUCAACUGGAGGACCGAACCGACUAAUGUUGAAAAAUUAGCGGAUGACUUGUGGCUAGGGGUGAAAGGCCAAUCAAACCUGGAGAUAGCUGGUUCUCCCCGAAAGCUAUUUAGGUAGCGCCUCGGACGAAUACUACUGGGGGUAGAGCACUGUUAAGGCUAGGGGGUCAUCCCGACUUACCAACCCUUUGCAAACUCCGAAUACCAGUAAGUACUAUCCGGGAGACACACGGCGGGUGCUAACGUCCGUCGUGGAGAGGGAAACAACCCAGACCGCCAGCUAAGGUCCCAAAUUACUACUAAGUGGGAAACGAUGUGGGAAGGCUCAGACAGCCAGGAUGUUGGCUUAGAAGCAGCCAUCAUUUAAAGAAAGCGUAAUAGCUCACUGGUCGAGUCGGCCUGCGCGGAAGAUGUAACGGGGCUAAGUAGUAAACCGAAGCUGCGGCAAUAUACUUUUGUAUAUUGGGUAGGGGAGCGUUCUGUAAGCGGUUGAAGGUGUGUGGUAACGCAUGCUGGACGUAUCAGAAGUGCGAAUGCUGACAUGAGUAACGAUAAAGGGGGUGAAAAACCUCCUCGCCGGAAGACCAAGGGUUCCUGUCCAACGUUAAUCGGGGCAGGGUAAGUCGACCCCUAAGGCGAGGCCGAAAGGCGUAGUCGAUGGGAAACGGGUUAAUAUUCCCGUACUUCUUACAAUUGCGAUGGGGGGACGGAGAAGGCUAGGUGGGCCUGGCGACGGUUGUCCAGGUUCAAGUGCGUAGGCUUGAGAGUUAGGUAAAUCCGGCUCUCUUUAAGGCUGAGACACGACGUCGAGCAUCUACGGAUGUGAAGUCAUUGAUGCCAUGCUUCCAGGAAAAGCCUCUAAGCUUCAGAUUGUAAGGAAUCGUACCCCAAACCGACACAGGUGGUCGGGUAGAGAAUACCAAGGCGCUUGAGAGAACUCGGGUGAAGGAACUAGGCAAAAUGGUACCGUAACUUCGGGAGAAGGUACGCUCUCGACGGUGAAGUCCCUUGCGGAUGGAGCUAUUGAGAGUCGCAGAUACCAGGUGGCUGCAACUGUUUAUUAAAAACACAGCACUGUGCAAAAUCGUAAGAUGACGUAUACGGUGUGACGCCUGCCCGGUGCCGGAAGGUUAAUUGAUGGGGUUAGACUUCGGUCGAAGCUCUUGAUCGAAGCCCCGGUAAACGGCGGCCGUAACUAUAACGGUCCUAAGGUAGCGAAAUUCCUUGUCGGGUAAGUUCCGACCUGCACGAAUGGCGUAAUGAUGGCCACGCUGUCUCCACCCGAGACUCAGUGAAAUUGAAAUCGCUGUGAAGAUGCAGUGUACCCGCGGCUAGACGGAAAGACCCCGUGAACCUUUACUACAGCUUGGCACUGAACAUUGACCCUACAUGUGUAGGAUAGGUGGGAGGCUUUGAAGCACGUACGCCAGUAUGUGUGGAGCCGUCCUUGAAAUACCACCCUUGUAGUGUUGAUGUUCUAACGUCGACCCCUAAUCGGGGUUGCGGACAGUGCCUGGUGGGUAGUUUGACUGGGGCGGUCUCCUCCCAAAGAGUAACGGAGGAGCACGAAGGUGGGCUAAUCACGGUUGGACAUCGUGAGGUUAGUGCAAUGGCAUAAGCCCGCUUGACUGCGAGAAUGACAAUUCGAGCAGGUGCGAAAGCAGGUCAUAGUGAUCCGGUGGUUCUGAAUGGAAGGGCCAUCGCUCAACGGAUAAAAGGUACUCCGGGGAUAACAGGCUGAUACCGCCCAAGAGUUCAUAUCGACGGCGGUGUUUGGCACCUCGAUGUCGGCUCAUCACAUCCUGGGGCUGAAGUCGGUCCCAAGGGUAUGGCUGUUCGCCAUUUAAAGUGGUACGCGAGCUGGGUUUAGAACGUCGUGAGACAGUUCGGUCCCUAUCUGCCGUGGGCGUUGGAAGAUUGAAGGGGGCUGCUCCUAGUACGAGAGGACCGGAGUGGACGAACCUCUGGUGUUCGGGUUGUGUCGCCAGACGCAUUGCCCGGUAGCUAAGUUCGGAAUCGAUAACCGCUGAAAGCAUCUAAGCGGGAAGCGAGCCCUGAGAUGAGUCUUCCCUGAUACUUUAAGUAUCCUAAAGGGUUGUCGGAGACUACGACGUUGAUAGGUCAGGUGUGUAAGUGCUGUGAGGCAUUGAGCUAACUGAUACUAAUUGCCCGUGAGGCUUAACCAU